GACGAACGUUGGCGGCGUGCUUAAUACAUGCAAGUCAACUGAAGCACCGGUAGCAAUACUGGUGUGGAGGUGGCGCACGGGUGAGUAACACGUAGGUAAUCUGCCUUCAGGUCUGACAUAACCCCGGGAACCGGGGACGUAAUAUCAGAUGAUGCAGCGGCUUGACAUCAAGACAGUUGUUAAAGCUUCGGUGCCUGAAGAUGAGCCUGCGUCUGAUAGCUAGUUGGCGGAGUAAUGGCCCACCAAGGCUACGAUCAGUAGCUGGUCUGAGAGGAUGAUCAGCCACACUGGAACUGAGACACGGUCCAGACUCCUACGGGAGGCAGCAGUAAGGAAUAUUGCUCAAU
rnacentral:rRNA from 1 species